ensembl:lncRNA
GGGGUCAUAAAUCAGCUAGUAAAGUUUAUCCACCCUAAGGUGUGGGACAGAUGUACUAAAACCCUUGCCAAAGAGAUCUGGAGGGCGGCAAAAAACUGUCUGUUGGCCACCCCAAAUUUUGGGGUCAGAGCAGCCACUCAGGCUUCACAGCCUCCACACAAGAGCAGCUCAGCUGAGCCAAAAGGGGCCCAAGAGGGCGACACGUCUCCUCAAUCCCCAAAUCCUUAUCUGCUCUCAGAGAAACAGCGAAGAGCAGAAGCCUUUUGGAGAAAGUUAACAGAAGAAGCUAGGGGUGCCGUGGGAAAAGCCCGGAGGGAAACAUCCUCCCUGGUGCCUAAAAAUGGCGCUGAGCAAAAAGACAUAAAGCGGGAAAGAAAUAUCCUUAGUGAAAACAAAGAACAAACGCUGGCAUUGAGAGAUGGACAUGGUCAGGAGGUUGGAAAAGAUAAGGAAUGUGAAGAAGAAAGAUGUGGGGGAAGUGUACGGAGGGAGAAAGAUAGGAAUGUAAAAGAAUGUGAGGGAGAGAGGGGGAGCAGAAGGAGGAACAGAAGGUGGGGUGAAAGGCGGAGUGAAAGGUGGAGUGAAGGGAGGAGUGAAAGGUGGGGUGAAAGGCAGAGUGGAGGGUGGACUGAAGGGCGAGGAGAGCCAAGAGGGAGGGAACAGCCUGCCCACAGGGGUGGUAGGUGGGGCCGGAGCCCAACAGAAAGGUACGGGAAAUGGGAAGUGGCUAGCCAGUCGAGCUCUGACUCCGAUGGAGACGCUAGCGAGGAAUGGUCGGAGGCUGAGUCCUCGGAAGAGAAAACAAUAAAGAUAAACAAGAAUAUCCCUCUCCACACUAAAAAAGAACAGAGAGUGGAUACCCCUCUCACAGACUGGGGACAGAUAAAAGCAUAUGCCAGCUGGGUCCCUUCAGCUGCGCUAGCGUUCCCAGUCCAGGUGACAGAGGGGAGACAGAGAGUUCUCUCACCAACAAAUCCUAAACGGCAAGGCUCCAGCCUGCAACAGCUGAUAAGCACAAACGAGACAAUGAUGACCACAUGCCUAUCAGUUUAUAACUUCGCUGUUUCUAACGAUUUUUCUGUGCAAGUUGUGAUUGUUCCCAGGGUCCUGUACCACCUGGAUAAAGAGUUGAGCCUGCAAGCAGAGAGACCCACCCGGCUUCAGAAAACAGAACUGGUGACAGGUGUGACCAUAGCGAUGCUGCUUAACCUGGGAGCAACUGGUGCUGCCACAGGUGUCUCUGCCAUCGUCACCCAACAACAGAGACUGUCUCAGCUACAAAUGACAACUGAUGAAGACUUGCAGAUAAUUGAAAAACCGUGUGUUUUAAAUAAGCUUGUAUCUUUUGUUUAGAGCCGACUAGAAAGAGUCAACAUUCUGUUUGUAGAAAGGCAACAGAUGCUCUAAAAAUACACUUAGUCACUGCGUGUGCCUUAUGCUUACUAAUGAAAAACUGCAGUAUCUAUUUUAUAAGUUUUAGCCUUUUAGUUAAGUAUAGUGUACCCUAUAUUUUACUCAAGUUUAUAAUAUCUGCUUUUAAAACUUUUUAUAAUAUAGAUAAGUUAGGCAAAGUGUUUAGAGAUAGAUAUAUAGAAAAUAACGUUAGAACUUUUUAAGACUAAUACACCUUAUAUUCUAGCAAAUUAGUUAUGCAUAGAGAGGGGGGAAUAUGUUGAAGCAGGGUCUAGCGCUCGGAAGAUAUUGGGAUGUAAGGGAAAGAUAGUAACCCCCCCCCCCUCAUCUUUAGUGUAGUAAUUAGCCCUGCAAUUAGCCAAUAGCACCUAGCUGUGAUGAAAGCAGAUGGGAGUAACACAGGG